GACGAACGCUGGCGGCGUGCUUAACACAUGCAAGUCGAACGGAAAGACCCUGCUUUUGUGGGGUGCUCGAGUGGCGAACGGGUGAGUAACACGUGAGUAACCUGCCCUUGACUUUGGGAUAACUUCAGGAAACUGGGGCUAAUACCGGAUAGGAGCUCCUGCUGCAUGGUGGGGGUUGGAAAGUUUCGGCGGUUGGGGAUGGACUCGCGGCUUAUCAGCUUGUUGGUGGGGUAGUGGCUUACCAAGGCUUUGACGGGUAGCUGGCCUGAGAGGGUGACCGGCCACAUUGGGACUGAGAUACGGCCCAGACUCCUACGGGAGGCAGCAGUGGGGAAUAUUGCACAAUGGGCGGAAGCCUGAUGCAGCAACGCCGCGUGCGGGAUGACGGCCUUCGGGUUGUAAACCGCUUUCGCCUGUGACGAAGCGUGAGUGACGGUAAUGGGUAAAGAAGCACCGGCUAACUACGUG
rnacentral:rRNA from 1 species